AUCGAAGCGGACAUCCCGGUCCUCCCAAAGCGCGUCCAACACCGACAUGAUGUCCGCAGAGGUGGAGGCCGAGCGGCGUCUCGCCGGUACCAAGGCAACGGAGCCACCUCGGUCACGACGUCUACGGGGGGUGCCGAGGCCCAAAAUUCCUCCAGAAGACUGGAUCUCAGCUGACUGAGCAAGAGAGACUCUCUUGUUUUCCUUGAAGAAGCCAGCUGCUGUGAGACCUCCUUUACUCCAGUGGCCUCAUGUUGUAUAGGUGCAAGGACCUGAAAUCUGCCAACAACCUGAAUGAGGUUGGAACCAGAUCUUUUCCCCAUUAAAACUUCUGAUGAAGCUUUAGCCCCAGGAAAUAUCUGGAUUGCAGCCAGUUUGUAUCCCUAAGCAAAAAACCCAGGUAAGUCAUGCUUGGAUUUCUGAUCUAUAGAAACGCAGAUAAAAAAUGUCUGUUGUUUUAAGAUGUGGUCAUUUGUUAAAUACUGCAAUAGAAAACUAAGAUGAGCAUUCCUGCUGUGGUGCAACUGGAUAGGCAGUGUCUUUGGAGCGCUUGGAUGCAGGUUUGAUCCUUAGCUGGGAUCAAAGGUCCUGGCCUUGCCCCGUUUAUGACUUGGAUCUGAUCCCUGGCCAGAGAAGUCCAUAUGCUGCAAUAUGACAAAAAAAAAAAAAAA